ensembl:lincRNA Mirg miRNA containing gene
CUCUGCCUCAGAGGUCUUCUCAAGCCACUACUGUUCCCAAGGAUGCCUAAUUGCAAUGCCAGCUUCUGGGGUGAACAUGGACCCACUGUCAUCGGGCAAGGUCUAGGAUGGACAUGGAGACCCACCAUCUGGGAGAUUCCAGAGUGGACGUGAACCCACCAUCAUCAGGCAGCUUCAUGGAGUAUUCAGAAGCUGGCGGGUGUCACCUGGAGGAUGUGACUGGGUACCAGUGCCAGAGCACGUGCCCACUGAGCAGUCUUCUUCACUUUCCUCGAUCCUCAUGAAACAUUCCGGGAUCUUUACCUCAAAGGACUCCAGAGGCUACAUCAUUGUCUUGGAACUGGUCAGUGGCUGGAGCUCUCUCCAGGACAAGUGCUUGGAGGAAGAACCUGGACAAGCUUCCCUCCCCAUACUGUUGACUGGAUCUUGUAGCUACCGUUAGCCACCAUCAUCGCCAUUGUGUGCCUCUUAGGAGCAUUUCCAGGAGGUGAUGCCAGCUGGGGAAAGAGCCUCUGUCCCACAGCCGUCGGUGCCCGCUGCAGCCUGCGCCCAGGAUGUCACAGCCUCAGCUCAACACCUCUGCUGGACAGCUUCAGGUGGUGAUUCCAGCUCCAGGGUUGCUGCGGUCAACACUGGGUACUUGAGGAGAGGUUGUCUGUGAUGAGUUCGCUUUAUUAAUGACGAAUAUAACACAGAUGGCCUGUUUUCAAUACCACCUGCCACUCCGGUCACUCGGCAGUACAUACCAGGUGUCACACCACUGCCCGGCAGGUGACAACGCUGAAUUGGUCCUCAGGAGCGGAUGUUCAAGGAACCCUGCCUAUGCACCAUGCUAGCUGCCAGUCCUAGGUUGGGACAUUCCACUGGGGACAUCCAUGGGAGAGCUAUGGCCAUUAACAAGUCCUGAGCCCUGACCUGAAGCCAUCAGUGGCCUAGCUGCUCUACCUGACUUUGUGGCCUCCCUUCCUGGAUCUCUCGCUUACGACAACCGACAACAAAGAUGUUUGACUCCAGAAGAUGCUCCCCGCGGCCCACCUGAGAGGACUGUCCACACCCCACCCCACUGCGCCCUGUGCCAUCUACCUCUGAGUCCCCAACUUCUCACCCAUGUUUCAACUCCCACCCCAGAGCCUUGUAUUCCAGAUCUGAGCAGCCCUUGCUUAGGAACCUGAGGUGGGGGGUGGGUAGGCAGACCCAGGGGACUGAGCAGGGAGGGGAAGGAGGGGUUUCUGCUCUUGGCUUUCAAAGUUCUCAGUGUGUGUAGCCCUUUGAAUAAUAAACAUAUGUCAUAUAAUGUAAA